CUGAGGCCAAACUUUAGACUGGAUUGAAUAAGCACAUAUCCUCUACAGGAAAUGGGCCAAUCAGAAUGUGUGCCUUUGGCAAGACUACAUUCCAGCUCUCCAUAGAGCACACAGGAGCCCUCUCACAGGGGUUUGGUGUGUCAUCAGACUGGCCAGAUCUAAAUGACCUCUGCAGGAGAACAGGAACAGAACUGAAGUGGACCUCCCACUCACAACCUGCAGAGGUCUCUGAUGCAGUGGUGGAGGACCCAUCAGAGAUGACACUGCACCACCACAACACCACCCGACUGCUCCAGCCAAGAACAGCAAGGCAGACUCUUCUGGAGAUUCAGAGAGCAGCUGUGUGUAGCACUGUAUGGCCAAGACAGAUUUCCCUUCUGGGACAAUAAAGCUCAUCUAAUCGAAUCUAAAAAACUUGACUUGU